CCUGGCUCCAGGUUGAACGCUGGCGGCAGGCCUAACACAUGCAGGUCGAGCGGAUGAGGGGAGCUUGCUCCCUGAUUUAGCGGCGGACGGGCGAGUAAUGCCUAGGAAUCUGCCUGGUAGUGGGGGAUAACGUUCCGAAAGGAACGCUAAUACCGCAUACGUCCUACGGGAGAAAGCAGGGGACCUUCGGGCCUUGCGCUAUCAGAUGAGCCUAGGUCGGAUUAGCUAGUUGGUGAGGUAAUGGCUCACCAAGGCGACGAUCCGUAACUGGUCUGAGAGGAUGAUCAGUCACACUGGAACUGAGACACGGUCCAGACUCCUACGGGAGGCAGCAGUGGGGAAUAUUGGACAAUGGGCGAAAGCCUGAUCCAGCCAUGCCGCGUGUGUGAAGAAGGUCUUCGGAUUGUAAAGCACUUUAAGUUGGGAGGAAGGGCAUUAACCUAAUACGUUAGUGUUUUGACGUUACCAACAGAAUAAGCACCGGCUAACUUCGUGCCAGCAGCCGCGGUAAUACGAAGGGUGCAAGCGUUAAUCGGAAUUACUGGGCGUAAAGCGCGCGUAGGUGGUUCGUUAAGUUGGAUGUGAAAGCCCCGGGCUCAACCUGGGAACUGCAUCCAAAACUGGCGAGCUAGAGUACGGUAGAGGGUGGUGGAAUUUCCCUGUGUAGCGGUGAAAUGCGUAGAUAUAGGAAGGAACCACCAGUGGCGAAGGCGACCACCCUGGACCUGAUANCUGAUCACUGAGGUGCGAAAGCGUGGGGAGCAAACAGGAUUAGAUACCCUGGUAGUCCACGCCGUAAACGAUGUCAACUAGCCGUUGGAAUCCUUGAGAUU
rnacentral:rRNA from 1 species